rnacentral:rRNA from 1 species
CAGCCGCCACGGUAAUACGAAGGGGGCUAGCGUUGUUCGGAUUUACUGGGCGUAAAGCGCACGUAGGCGGACUUUUAAGUCAGGGGUGAAAUCCCGGGGCUCAACCCCGGAACUGCCUUUGAUACUGGAAGUCUUGAGUAUGGUAGAGGUGAGUGGAAUUCCGAGUGUAGAGGUGAAAUUCGUAGAUAUUCGGAAGAACACCAGUGGCGAAGGCGACACACUGGCUCAUUACUGACGCUGAGGCGCGAAAGCGUGGGGAGCAAACAGGAUUAGAUACCCCAGUAGUCCCUGUCUCUUAUAA